CUAGGUAAUAACCUGGCAUGUUUUCUGUUGAGGAGAAUGAGGAAAAUGGGGAGCAGGAUGCUAACAAUGAGGUAGAUGAAGAAGAGGAAGGAGGAGGGGAGGAGGAGGAAGAGGAAGGUGAUGGUGAGUAGCCUUAUCUGCCUCCUCUUUUGUGGGUACCUUUCCCUGGCUUCUGUCACAGGAGGAGGAGUUGGCUCCUAGGGUGGGGGCCAAUGGACUACCUACGACUGGACCUGUGGAUUCAGGG